AUGCUCACUUUGACAGCACAUAUACUAAAAUUAGAAUGAUAGAAAAUUAGUAUGACCCAUGUUCAAAGAUAAUACUCAAAUUGAUGAAGUAAUCUGUAUUUUU
rnacentral:snRNA from 1 species